UGGGGAAUAUUGGACAAUGGGCGAAAGCCUGAUCCAGCCAUGCCGCGUGUGUGAAGAAGGUCUUCGGAUUGUAAAGCACUUUAAGUUGGGAGGAAGGGCAGUAAAUUAAUACUUUGCUGUUUUGACGUUACCGACAGAAUAAGCACCGGCUAACUCUGUGCCAGCAGCCGCGGUAAUACAGAGGGUGCAAGCGUUAAUCGGAAUUACUGGGCGUAAAGCGCGCGUAGGUGGUUCGUUAAGUUGGAUGUGAAAUCCCCGGGCUCAACCGUGGGAACUGCAUUCAAAACUGACGAGCUAGAGUAUGGUAGAGGGUGGUGGAAUUUCCUGUGUAGCGGUGAAAUGCGUAGAUAUAGGAAGGAACACCAGUGGCGAAGGCGACCACCUGGACUGAUACUGACACUGAGGUGCGAAAGCGUGGGGAGCAAACAGGAUUAGAUACCCCCGUAGUCCCUGAGCGGGCUGGCAAGGCGCAU
rnacentral:rRNA from 1 species